UGGGGAAUUUUGGACAAUGGGCGAAAGCCUGGUCCAGCAAUGCCGCGUGUGUGAAGAAGGCCUUCGGGUUGUAAAGCACUUUUGUCCGGAAAGAAAUCCUUGGCUCUAAUACAGUCGGGGGAUGACGGUACCGGAAGAAUAAGCACCGGCUAACUACGUGCCAGCAGCCGCGGUAAUACGUAGGGUGCAAGCGUUAAUCGGAAUUACUGGGCGUAAAGCGUGCGCAGGCGGUUUGCUAAGACCGAUGUGAAAUCCCCGGGCUCAACCUGGGGAACUGCAUUGGUGACUGGCAGGCUAGAGUAUGGCAGAGGGGGGUAGAAUUCCACGUGUAGCAGUGAAAUGCGUAGAGAUGUGGAGGAAUACCGAUGGCGAAGGCAGCCCCCUGGGCCAAUACUGACGCUCAUGCACGAAAGCGUGGGGGAGCAAACAGGAUUAGAUACCCUGGUAGUCCACGCCCUAAACGAUGUCAACUAGUUGUUGGGGAUUCAUUUCCUUAGUAACGUAGCUAACGCGUGAAGUUGACCGCCUGGGGGAGUACGGUCGCAAGAUUAAAACUCAAAUGAAUUGACGGGGUCAUAGCUGUUU
rnacentral:rRNA from 1 species